CAGCCUAACACAUGCAGUCGACGGUAACAGGAAACAGCUUGCUGUUUCGCUGACGAGUGGCGGACGGGUGAGUAAUGUCUGGGAAACUGCCUGAUGGAGGGGGAUAACUACUGGAAACGGUAGCUAAUACCGCAUAACGUCGCAAGACCAAAGAGGGGGACCCUCGGGCCUCUUGCCAUCGGAUGUGCCCAGAUGGGAUUAGCUUGUUGGUGGGGUAACGGCUCACCAAGGCGACGAUCCCUAGCUGGUCUGAGAGGAUGACCAGCCACACUGGAACUGAGACACGGUCCAGACUCCUACGGGAGGCAGCAGUGGGGAAUAUUGCACAAUGGGCGCAAGCCUGAUGCAGCCAUGCCGCGUGUAUGAAGAAGGCCUUCGGGUUGUAAAGUACUUUCAGCGGGGAGGAAGGGAGUAAAGUUAAUACCUUUGCUCAUUGACGUUACCCGCAGAAGAAGCACCGGCUAACUCCGUGCCAGCAGCCGCGGUAAUACGGAGGGUGCAAGCGUUAAUCGGAAUUACUGGGCGUAAAGCGCACGCAGGCGGUUUGUUAAGUCAGAUGUGAAAUCCCCGGGCUCAACCUGGGAACUGCAUCUGAUACUGGCAAGCUUGAGUCUCGUAGAGGGGGGUAGAAUUCCAGGUGUAGCGGUGAAAUGCGUAGAGAUCUGGAGGAAUACCGGUGGCGA
rnacentral:rRNA from 1 species